rnacentral:lncRNA from 1 species
CCCAGCCUGUCGACCGCCCCGUGCCUCAGCGGCGGCCCCGCCCCCUGACCUGGCACUCAGUUCCGGGGCGGGCUACCGCCUUGAAUCUGUGCUUUUCCUUCCCUGACCUUAAAGUCUCCCGAUCUUCAGUCACCGCGGGGCCGGGACUGGGAGCCAACCCAUGAGGCCUCCUGUGCUGGCCACCGCUCUUGUCUGAUCUCAGCGGUGGCCUGGGGUCCCUCCAACCCGACCGCGGAGAGCUGGGACUUGGAGGCUGUCUUGCUUGGGUGCGGGAAGCGGCCAGGGUGAAGGCGAGGGCUGAACCAACGAGACCCUGAGGGCGCAGAGGGUUUGAAAGUUUGGCUGCCUCGGUUGUUGGACGAAGACUUUGUGGCUUAUCCAGGACUCUGCAUGUUUGCAUGUUUUGAGGGCUCUCUCCACAGAACACAAUGGAAGAAGAGACAGGGAAACUGAGGCAGAGAAAUGGAACAGCCCCAUCUGGAUAGUG